CCUCGCACUCUGGGAUAAGCCUGGGAAACUGGGUCUAAUACCGGAUAUGACCGCGAAUCGCAUGGUUUGUGGUGGAAAGGUUUACUGGUGCGAGAUGGGCCCGCGGCCUAUCAGCUUGUUGGUGGGGUAACGGCCUACCAAGGCGACGACGGGUAGCCGGCCUGAGAGGGCGACCGGCCACACUGGGACUGAGACACGGCCCAGACUCCUACGGGAGGCAGCAGUGGGGAAUAUUGCACAAUGGGCGAAAGCCUGAUGCAGCGACGCCGCGUGAGGGAUGACGGCCUUCGGGUUGUAAACCUCUUUCGACAGGGACGAAGCGCAAGUGACGGUACCUGUAGAAGAAGCACCGGCCAACUACGUGCCAGCAGCCGCGGUAAUACGUAGGGUGCGAGCGUUGUCCGGAAUUACUGGGCGUAAAGAGCUUGUAGGCGGUCUGUCGCGUCGAUCGUGAAAACGUGCAGCUCAACUGUGCGCCUGCGGUCGAUACGGGCAGACUAGAGUACUUCAGGGGAGACUGGAAUUCCUGGUGUAGCGGUGAAAUGCGCAGAUAUCAGGAGGAACACCGGUGGCGAAGGCGGGUCUCUGGGAAGUAACUGACGCUGAGAAGCGAAAGCGUGGGUAGCGAACAGGAUUAGAUACCCUGGUAGUCCACGCCGUAAACGGUGGGUACUAGGUGUGGGUUUCCUUCCACGGGAUCCGUGCCGUAGCUAACGCAUUAAGUACCCCGCCUGGGGAGUACGGCCGCAAGGCUAAAACUCAAAGGAAUUGACGGGGGCCCGCACAAGCGGCGGAGCAUGUGG
rnacentral:rRNA from 1 species